AUAUGCUUGUCCCAAAGAUUAAGCCAUGCAAGUCUCCGAGGAAGCGGUUCAAAUCUGCGAAUGGCUCCGUAUAUCUGUUGCAACCUCGAAGGCGAUGAGCUCUCACACUGGCCCCCGGCCUGGUGCUCGUAGGAUAUCUAAGGCAAUUCUUUGGCAUAAUACACGUAAACGGACCCCAACCGGAGUGGGUUCGUUCUCACCGGGCGGCGCUGGGGUCUAAAAAACCCCGGUGCCGACCACCUUAGUGUUCCGAUGAAUGCCGGAUUGGGGGCCGCGGCACUUACCCACCGGUCUCCCGGGCCCCGUCAAAAGGGCCCGGGGGCACCAAACCGCUGGGUGAUCCGGCCGCGCGCCGCACUGGCCCUCGCGCCAGGGUCCUUCAUGGACUUCAGCUCUAUCAACUAACCCUAUGAGGAACGCCCAGAGGGGGUAGCGACGGAUACAGAGGAUCAGGGUUCGAUCCUGGAGAGGAAGCCUGAGAGAUAGCUUCUACAUCUAAGGAGGGCAGCAGGCGCGCAACGUUCCCAAUGGGGAUACCCUGAGGACGUGACGGGACAUAUCAAGGCCGCGCGUAAAAGCGUGGUUAUUGACAUGGGGCCGAUUUAAAUACCCCACCGAGUAACAAUUGGAGGACAAGUCUGGUGCCAGCACCCGCGGUAAUUCCAGCUCCGAUAGCAUCUCGUUAAGUUGUUGCAGUUAAAACGCUCGUAGCCACGGUCGGCCUCCCCGCCUCUGUUUGUCCUGCCUUGAACCGGAACGCGUGCCCCGGAGCCGCCCGAGGGGGUUGCCGCAAGGCUUCCCCACCGAGUGGUGACGGGGUGGCGGAGUAGGUCUCGGAAUGUGGGCCUCUGGUGGGGUGGCCGACCGCUCGGGACCUUGGCCGGGGGGGAGCGCAAGCGACCCCCGUCUGUCGCCUGCCCGGGCAAGUCACUUUGAGUAAAUUAAAUCGCUCCAAGAAGGCCGCCUGUGGGCCUUGUACGGGACAUGAAACACCCCGUUUUGAAUAUUCCAGCAAAGGAUGGCGCAAUACGCUUUCCCUAAGCCCCCGUGAUACCGGUCGCGGGGGGAGAAUGGCUAAUGGGGUGGAUCGGGGCUGACCGCAUGGCCGGGGUAGGGGUGAAAUCUGAUGAUCCUGGCUAGGCGACCUAAUGCGAAAGCAGUCAGCAAGUACCACUCCGUUGGUCAAGAACGAAAGUUUGGGGAUCGAAGAUGAUCAGAUACCAUCGUAGUCCAGACUAUAAAAGAUGCCGGCUAAGGCUGGCGGGCCGCCCCCCUGGCGCCCGCUGCACUUGAUGAGAAAUCAUUAAGCGUUUGGGCUCCGGGGGGAGUAUGGCCGCAAGGCUGAAACUUAAAGGAAUUG
rnacentral:rRNA from 1 species